rnacentral:tRNA from 1 species
AGCUUUAUAUUUUAUUUUUAAAAUAUUUAUUUGUGGUAUAAAAGAAUUAAGAGCUU